CUCCGGUUGAUCCUGCCGGACCCGACUGCUAUCAGAGUGGGACUAAGCCAUGCGAGUCAACAUAGCAAUGUGUGGCAUACGGCUCAGUAACACGUAGUCAACAUGCCCAGGGGACGUGGAUAACCUCGGGAAACUGAGGAUAAACCGCGAUAAGUCACUACUUCUGGAAUGGGUAAUGACUCAAAUCUACAUGGCCCCUGGAUUGGACUGCGGCCGAUCAGGCUGUUGGUGAGGUAAUGGUCCACCAAACCUGUAACCGGUACGGGCUCUGAGAGGAGGAGCCCGGAGAUGGGCACUGAGACAAGGGCCCAGGCCCUAUGGGGCGCAGCAGGCGCGAAACCUCUGCAAUAGGCGAAAGCUUGACAGGGUUACUCUGAGUGAUUUCCGUUAAGGAGAUCUUUUGGCACCUCUAAAAAUGGUGCAGAAUAAGGGGUGGGCAAGUCUGGUGUCAGCCGCCGCGGUAAUACCAGCACCCCGAGUGGUCGGGACGUUUAUUGGGCCUAAAGCAUCCGUAGCCGGUUCUACAAGUCUUCCGUUAAAUCCACCUGCUUAACAGAUGGGCUGCGGAAGAUACUAUAGAGCUAGGAGGCGGGAGAGGCAAGCGGUACUCGAUGGGUAGGGGUAAAAUCCGUUGAUCCAUUGAAGACCACCAGUGGCGAAGGCGGCUUGCCAGAACGCGCUCGACGGUGAGGGAUGAAAGCUGGGGGAGCAAACCGGAUUAGAUACCCGGGUAGUCCCAGCUGUAAACGAUGCAGACUCGGUGAUGAGUUGGCUUAUUGCUAACUCAGUGCCGCAGGGAAGCCGUUAAGUUUGCCGCCUGGGGAGUACGGUCGCAAGACUGAAACUUAAAGGAAUUGGCGGGGGAGCA
rnacentral:rRNA from 1 species